rnacentral:rRNA from 1 species
AUUGAACGCUGGCGGCAGGCCUAACACAUGCAAGUCGAGCGGAUGAAGGGAGCUUGCUCCUGGAUUCAGCGGCGGACGGGUGAGUAAUGCCUAGGAAUCUGCCUGGUAGUGGGGGAUAACGUCCGGAAACGGGCGCUAAUACCGCAUACGUCCUGAGGGAGAAAGUGGGGGAUCUUCGGACCUCACGCUAUCAGAUGAGCCUAGGUCGGAUUAGCUAGUUGGUGGGGUAAAGGCCUACCAAGGCGACGAUCCGUAACUGGUCUGAGAGGAUGAUCAGUCACACUGGAACUGAGACACGGUCCAGACUCCUACGGGAGGCAGCAGUGGGGAAUAUUGGCCAAUGGGCGAAAGCCUGGUCCAGCCAUGCCGCGUGUGUGAAGAAGGUCUUCGGAUUGUAAAGCCCUUUAAGUUGGGAGGAAGGGCAGUAAGUUAAUACCUUGCUGUUUUGACGUUACCAACAGAAUAAGCACCGGCUAACUUCGUG